CACACACUCAGUCAGUCAGUCAGCUCUAUAUCCGCGGUGUUUGACCGUAAUCCCGUCAUUUAUUUCCGGUGAACACUCGGACUUUAUCCCAUUUCAACUCCACAAAACUCAAGGCGACUUCAGAAGAAUGAACCAAUCACAGCCGACUAGCGUCAGGACGAACCAAUCACAGCCGGCUAGCGGCAGGAUGAACCAAUCACAGUCGGGAGGUGUUUGUAAUUUGAGUGUUUACACACGUUAAAUCGAAACUCGUCGUUAGAGUUUGUCCUGUGGUCAGACCACAUUUCUGAACUCUGAACCGAAGCUGACUUCUGUCUUAUUUAUCGUAUAAACGCAUCGCUCCUGGAUGCACAACAUCCUACGACGAGUCUCUGGCAAUCCAUCGCUACAUCUACAUCAGAUAUGAAAAUCACUCGUGGAAUAGUUUUUCAUACGAGUUUAACACCCAUAAAGGUGACACAUCUUUUAUCCUAAAAGAAGCCCUCGACCGUUCCCAGAUUCAGUUGCACUGCACCUCUGAAGGCGGCACUCGUUACUGUCCCAACUACAGUAAGUUCCUGCAAACAUGUCAUUUCUGGACUACUCUGUACAGCCAAAAGUAUGUGACCCCCUACCAUCACAGCACAAUGUGCUUGUUCAGCAUCCCAUUCAAAAUUAAUUUAGCCUUUGCUGUUAUAAAAACAAAGAAAAAUCCAGCAACAUUUCUGGUAAAGAAAAGUUGUGUUAUUUGAAAAAAAAAAAGUUUUUUUCUUCAGUUUUUAAUACAUAUAAUAUAUUGUCUCUAAUCCCAUGGUGUCGGAUGCUGUUUUUAAACAGGAAGAAUUAAAGAAGAUGAAAACCGGAGACAGCAAGAGGAGGAGAGAAGACGUCUGGAACGGGAGUAAACAAGCACCCCCUGUUGUCCGUUGUAAUAUUUGUUGUUCUAGGGACAAAAAAAAAGUGUAGGUUCUCUUGCAGCUGGUCUGCAACCACAUGUAAGAAAUCUUGGGUAACAUUUGAUUUGUCACUAAACUUCACCAGCCAGUUUCAAAUCGGUUUUUAAAACCUCUUAACAGCAUUCACCAGCAAAGAUCACCAGCGGCCUCGGAUUAUUGCUGUUUCACAUUCACAGCAUAUUAAAACACACUAUUAUUUGAUCCGGAAAUACUGUGUGUCUUUAAAAAGAUGAAAAGUGUCGAAAGUUUUCAGAUUUUAUCCUGUUUAAUGUGUUUGUACUUUUUAUAUGCUUAAAGGAUUAGUUCACCCAAAAAUGAAAAUUCUGUCAUUAAUUACUCACCCUCAUGUCAUUCUAAACCCGUAAGACCUCUGUUCAUCUUCGAAACACAAAUUAAGAUAUUUUUGAUACAUUCUAACAGCUCUCUGAUCCUCCCAUAGACAGCAAUGUAAUUUCCACAAUCAAGGUCCAUCUGUGACACACAGAUAUGUUUGCUACGUUGUUUACGCAUUGAUUGGAAAGAAAACAAUGUAUCCGUGUGACACAGCUUACACAGAAUAUAAUACGCUGUUUGCGUUCAUUGGAUACUCUCCAAAAUGACACCAGGGUGACGUGGAGGAGACGAAUUGUUGAAUAAAGUUAUUUUUGUUUUCUUCGCGUACA
ensembl:lncRNA